GGCAAAUAAUAGGACUCCUACAGCUUCAAGCCUUGUGGGUUGGUGACCAUCGGAGUAGUCGGCAAAGUUAACCCUAAAGAUGCCAAUCUCAAGUUAACUUCCAAGCACCCUCUCACAUAGCAAGCCAAACCUUAGUGGGAGCAAAUACUAAAACAUCCAGGUAAAUCUUUCUCUGUCUCUCAACCAAAAAAACCAUUGAUAUACUGU
rnacentral:misc_RNA from 1 species